UACGGAGGGGGCUAGCGUUGUUCGGAAUUACUGGGCGUAAAGCGCGCGUAGGCGGACCUGCAAGUCGGGGGUGAAAGCCCGAGGCUCAACCUCGGAACUGCCUUCGAUACUGCGGGUCUCGAGUCCGGGAGAGGUGAGUGGAAUUCCUAGUGUAGAGGUGAAAUUCGUAGAUAUUAGGAAGAACACCAGUGGGCGAAGGCGGCUCAUUGGCCCGGUACUGACGGCUGAGGCGCGAAAGGCGUGGGGAGCAAACAGGG
rnacentral:rRNA from 1 species